rnacentral:tRNA from 1 species
GAGGGUAUAGCUCAAGUGGUAGAGUGUCUGCUUAGCAUGCACAAGGUCCUGGGUUCAAUCCCCAGUACUGCUA